rnacentral:rRNA from 1 species
UACAGAGGGUGCAAGCGUUGUUCGGAAUUAUUGGGCGUAAAGCGCGUGUAGGCGGUUUCUUAAGUCUGAUGUGAAAGCCCCGGGCUCAACCUGGGAAGUGCAUUGGAAACUGGGAAACUUGAGUACGGGAGAGGGCAGUGGAAUUCCUAGUGUAGGAGUGAAAUCCGUAGAUAUUAGGAGGAACACCGGUGGCGAAGGCGGCAUCCUGGACCGGUAUUGACGCUGAGGCGCGAAAGCCAGGGGAGCAAACGGG